rnacentral:rRNA from 1 species
UACGGAGGGUGCAAGCGUUAUCCGGAUUCACUGGGUUUAAAGGGUGCGUAGGAGGGCAGGUAAGUCAGUGGUGAAAUCUCCGAGCUUAACUUGGAACUGCCGUUGAUACUAUCUGCCUUGAAUAUUGUGGAGGUGAGCGGAAUAUGUCAUGUAGCGGUGAAAUGCUUAGAUAUGACAUAGAACACCAAUUGCGAAGGCAGCUCACUAAGCAAAUAUUGACGCUGAGGCACGAAAGCGUGGGGAUCAAACAGG